rnacentral:lncRNA from 1 species
CUUGGAAAAAAGAAGCAUACUGUUUAUGUAAUGCUGCUGGGAUCGGGCGGGUUAACCGUUUGGGUCGGGCGGGUUUACAUUGACUGGGUGGGCUAAUUUUGGACCGACGUAAGACUGGCCCGAAUGUGUAACGGUGAGGGUAUAUUUGUUAAAGAAUUCAAACGAGUAUAAAUGUAACUUAUUUUGAAUAGUACAAGAGCAAAUCCGACCCUUAACCGAUCAAAAUAAAAAUAUAAUCACAGAACACUGAACAUAUUUCUCUUUUUUUGUAUUUUUCUUGUUAUGGAACUAAACUAAAAAUAUGAAGAUGAAUAAUAGAGAAUAAGAAGACGAACGUUUUCUAAAACCCUAAUUUCCUCUCAAAAAAUCUGCCCGAAAAUCUCCUCUUCUCAGAGUCAAAUCUUCUCUUUUAAAGAUAUGUUCUAUAAAGAUAGAGGGAUAUGAUUAACCUUAAUUCAAUCCUAGGGCUCUUAUCUCUCCAAAACAUGCCUUUUAAAGAGAUUGACGUGUGAUUUUGGUUAGUACGAAGCGAGUGAAAGAAGGUAUGCGAGUACUGAGAAUAUUCCUUCUGUUAGAAGCGUUAGGGUUGGUGAUGUGGAAGAGGGAGAGGGGAAGGGACCGAGUGAGGUGAGUUGGGAUGAACUCGCCUGAGUUUCAGGCGAGUUUGGGCGAGGUGAUGCGCGGCAGUGAUGACGAAGAAUGGGGCGCCGUUUCUAGGUUCUUAGGUUAGAA